GACGAACGCUGGCGGCGUGCUUAACACAUGCAAGUCGAACGGAAAGGCCCUGCUUUUGUGGGGUGCUCGAGUGGCGAACGGGUGAGUAACACGUGAGUAACCUGCCCUUGACUUUGGGAUAACUUCAGGUAACUGGGGCUAAUACCGGAUAGGAGCUCCUGCUGCAUGGUGGGGGUUGGAAAGUUUCGGCGGUUGGGGAUGGACUCGCGGCUUAUCAGCUUGUUGGUGGGGUAGUGGCUUACCAAGGCAUUGACGGGUAGCCGGCCUGAGAGGGUGACCGGCCACAUUGGGACUGAGAUACGGCCCAGACUCCUACGGGAGGCAGCAGUGGGGAAUAUUGCACAAUGGGCGGAAGCCUGAUGCAGCAACGCCGCGUGCGGGAUGACGGCCUUCGGGUUGUAAACCGCUUUCGCCUGUGACGAAGCGUGAGUGACGGUAAUGGGUAAAGAAGCACCGGCUAACUACGUG
rnacentral:rRNA from 1 species